UACGUAGGUGGCAAGCGUUGUCCGGAUUUACUGGGCGUAAAGAGUAUGUAGGCGGAUAUUUAAGUCAGAUGUGAAAUUCCCGGGCUUAACCUGGGCGCUGCAUUUGAAACUGGAUAUCUAGAGUGCGGGAGAGGAAAGUGGAAUUCCUAGUGUAGCGGUGAAAUGCGUAGAGAUUAGGAAGAACACCAGUGGCGAAGGCGACUUUCUGGACCGUAACUGACGCUGAGAUACGAAAGCGUGGGGAGCAAACAGG
rnacentral:rRNA from 1 species